CAGGGUACUCGAGUGGCGAACGGGUGAGUAACACGUGGGUGAUCUGCCCUGCACUUCGGGAUAAGCUUGGGAAACUGGGUCUAAUACCGGAUAGGAGCCAUCUUUAGUGUGGUGGUUGGAAAGUUUUUCGGUGUAGGAUGAGCUCGCGGCCUAUCAGCUUGUUGGUGGGGUAAUGGCCUACCAAGGCGGCGACGGGUAGCCGGCCUGAGAGGGUGUACGGCCACAUUGGGACUGAGAUACGGCCCUG
rnacentral:rRNA from 1 species